AUGGUCGUAGAUUUGGCAAAAAGUGAAAUGACGUUGAAGAAAAGAGAAACAAAAGGACCGGGAAAAUAUGGUUGCCGAGCAACAUUUUCAGCUUAUUUGAAAUUGAAAGUACUCGGGAAGGACACGGCUUGGUUAAUGUCGCAAUAUAUCGGGUUAUUGUGCCUAAAUGGAUGACACGAACAAAAAAAAUAUAUUAAGGCCAUUGCUCUUCAGGAUCCCUAAGAAAUAUGUAAUUCAUUUCUUAAAUAUUUACUGUGCUAAGCUAUAUAAUCUCAUCUUAUUGAAUUUUUCUUCGGCAGGAAGCUCCCUCAUUGUCGGAUUUGUGUGCGUUAGAAGUCUGCUUAUGUGCCUUCGACUCGCGGCUUGGAUUGCUUGGGCAACUGUAUCGAUGUUUAAGUCACGGUGAAUGUAAUUUAAAACCAAAUUUCUGCGCACUAGUUUAUUAAAAAUGACGACUAGAAAUACGCAUUUUUUUGUCAAAUGCUCAAGUAGGCAUACAUUAAUCGCUUUUAUUAUGACUUUAGGCAGCCAGUAAAUCAAUUAAUUUUUAUGUUCACAUCCACUUCACCAUCCCAGCACCACCUCUCCCUGCAUCCCAUCGGUCUUUCUCUUUCACCUCUCCUCCUUUAUAAUGGUAUCACAAAGGCCAAUCCAUUUUUCGUCGUGUGUGCUCACUCCUUGGAUAACCAUACCAACCUAACAUAACCUAACCCACUUCACCCAUUAUCCUAUUGGUUAUUACUUUUUUUUAUCGAUUUAGCGUAAACUAAUUGAACGCAAUUUAAUUAAUUCGCUUUUAUCAUUAAAUAACAGACGAUCUCUUCUGAAUUUUUAAUUUCUUCUCGGCAUCAUUUCGGUUAAAACCGACUGCUCGUUCCUUAUUGAGUUAAUUGACUUUAAUGUGCCAGAUUCGA